rnacentral:lncRNA from 1 species
CUUAAAAAUGAAUAAUUUUAAGUUAGCUUCUGCUUAUCUCCUAGACGUUAGACCAGAAAGUACGGAACGCACAUUCCCACCCACUCAAGAAGCUACCCAGACACAAGAACAGAUGAGAUAGCUGUGGCCUUGUCCUGGGAACCCCAGGACAAAAAAACAUUUGUCAAGUCAGACGGACAUCCUUGGUACUGGAAUAGCUGCGUUGAUAUGGUUGCGGCCUUGUCCCAGGAACUCCAGGACGAGAAACAUCUGCCUAGUCAGUUUCCCCCUCUUUGAUCUUGCUGUGUUUUCAAAGAUGACUCUGAACAUUCCACCCUCCUGCCUCUACCUCCUCGAUUCUGGAAUUAAAGCCCUGAGUGUCUUUUCCUGAAGGAAGUGGGAGGUGGCAGGAUGGGUCUAUGGGUGAUUCAAAGUCUGGAAAGAGCUGCUUCUGGG